UACCAGCACCCCGAGUGGUCGGGACGUUUAUUGGGCCUAAAGCAUCCGUAGCCGGUUCUACAAGUCUUCCGUUAAAUCCACCUGCUUAACAGAUGGGCUGCGGAAGAUACUAUAGAGCUAGGAGGCGGGAGAGGCAAGCGGUACUCGAUGGGUAGGGGUAAAAUCCGUUGAUCCAUUGAAGACCACCAGUGGCGAAGGCGGCUUGCCAGAACACGCUCGACGGUGAGGGAUGAAAGCUGGGGGAGCAAACCGG
rnacentral:rRNA from 1 species